rnacentral:rRNA from 1 species
GGGCCCGCACAAGUAGUGGAGCAUGUGGUUUAAUUCGAAGAUACGCGCAGAACCUUACCAACACUUGACAUGUUCGUCGCGACUUUAAGAGAUUAGAGUUUUCGGUUCGGCCGGACGAAACACAGGUGCUGCAUGGCUGUCGUCAGCUCGUGUCGUGAGAUGUUGGGUUAAGUCCCGCAACGAGCGCAACCCUCACUUUUAGUUGCCAUCAUUAAGUUGGGCACUCUGAAAGAACUGCCAGUGAUAAGCUGGAGGAAGGUGGGGAUGACGUCAAGUCCUCAUGGCCCUUACGUGUUGGGCUACACACGUGCUACAAUGGUAUCUACAACAGGAAGCAAGACUGCGAAGUUAAGCAAAUCCUCAAAAGGUACCUCAGUUCGGAUUGCACUCUGCAACUCGAGUGCAUGAAGCUGGAAUUGCUAGUAAUCG